UACGUAGGGGGCAAGCGUUGUCCGGAUUUAUUGGGCGUAAAGAGCGUGUAGGCGGCCAUACAGGUCAGCUGUGAAAACUCGAGGCUCAACCUCGAGACGUCGGUUGAAACCGUAUGGCUAGAGUCCGGAAGAGGAGAGUGGAAUUCCCGGUGUAGCGGUGAAAUGCGCAGAUAUCAGGAAGAACGCCCGUGGCUAAGGCGGCUCUCUAGUACGGUACUGACGCUGAGACGCGAAAGCGUGGGGAGCGAACAGG
rnacentral:rRNA from 1 species